AACUCCUAGUGUGGUUCAUUUUCUUAUCCCUCACCUUUUAUUUUCCUUAGGACUUAGCCAUUCUUCUUCUUCUCUCCACUCUAACCCAAGCCAAAACCUUUUGUGCAAACAUUUUAUUUGUUUUCAACAUUAGAAACCUAAGCCUUAUGCUUUUGAUUUUCAAACCUUCUCUUCAUAAUACUUAUUUUGAAUUGAACCUUUUAAU
rnacentral:lncRNA from 1 species